GAUCCUGGCUCAGGGAUGAACGCUAGCUACAGGCUUAACACAUGCAAGUCGAGGGGAAACGACAUCGGAAGCUUGCUUUUGAUGGGCGUCGACCGGCGCACGGGUGAGUAACGCGUAUCCAACCUGCCCACCACUUGGGGAUAACCUUGCGAAAGUAAGACUAAUACCCAAUGAUAUCUCUAGAAGACAUCUGAAAGGGAUUUAAAGAUUUAUCGGUGAUGGAUGGGGGAUGCGUCUGAUUAGCUUGUUGGCGGGGUAACGGCCCACCAAGGCGACGAUCAGUAGGGGUUCUGAGAGGAAGGUCCCCCACAUUGGAACUGAGACACGGUCCAAACUCCUACGGGAGGCAGCAGUGAGGAAUAUUGGUCAAUGGGCGAGAGCCUGAACCAGCCAAGUAGCGUGCAGGAUGACGGCCCUAUGGGUUGUAAACUGCUUUUAUAAGGGAAUAAAGUUAGUCUCGUGAGGCUUUUUGCAUGUACCUUAUGAAUAAGGACCGGCUAAUUCCGUG
rnacentral:rRNA from 1 species